UGGCAAUGUCCAUUCAGGUUGUAUUUAUGGAGUACACAAUACAUGUAUUUAGUACAAUGUGUGUAUGGUAGUCGACUGGACUCUUGUGCGAAAAGAUCCUUGCAAAGUGCGGCAUUGGGAUUCAGAAGAUUUGUAACUGGCAUCACAGUAUUUUCUUCACUGAACCUUCAUGAACAUGAAUGACUGCACAGUUUAUGCUACAGGCACAAAAAGUAAAGAAAGACUUUGGUCCGAGGUUUUCCACGGCACAUGGUAGUACCGCUUCGUCCCCACGUUUGAUCGUGAUGUUGGCUGGCGUGUCGAGAAAUCCAGGCAACAUGUAUCUGAGUGGACGUGUUCCAGCAGCUGAAAGGAAAACAAUAAAAUCAUUUUAAAAAUUA